UUCAUCUGUAAAAUGGGUAGAACACCUGUGUUGCAGGAAGGUUUGUUUAUUCCGUGGAUAUUUACUGGUAGCAACUAUAUAGAUCAGGUAUUGUUCUAGGUGUUGAGUGUAUAAAGUGAGCAAAAACAGGCGCAGUUCCUUCCCUAAGGGAGUAGACAGAAAAUACUCGCAUAAAUAAAUGUAAUGUUCUAACUGAAAGAAAUACUACGCAGGGGAGGUACAAGGUGCCAUAUGAGCUCAAAGUUGGGAGAUCGGAGCUAGUUGUGGCAGUGAAGAAGUGAGGGUGAAGGAAAAGGAGGCAGGUGAAUGGGCCGGUGGGGGUAAGAAGGUUCCAGGAGGAGGGAAGGGCACGGACAGUGGCCCUGUGGUAGGAGCACUGAGGGGACGGGAGAGCUUGUGACGUGGUGCUGAGGACUUGGCAGGGCUGGUGUCACGGACGCGUCAGUCUCUGCCCUUCCUUCAGCCCCGCUGCCGCCAGCACCCCUUUGGGUCUACCCCAAACUCCCUACCCCCAGAUUACUCUUCCUGUGUCUGCAGACUGGUCUCCGCACGGCUCCAGACCCGCGGGGUGCCCACCUUCCACGGACUCAGCUUCACCGCUCAGCCUGAACCUGGAGAGGGGCCUAGGACAGAUCAACGCUGGGGCUCCUGAGCCAGGCCUCCAGGGUUCACGCUCUAAUUUGACCCCUUCCUGGCUGUGUGAUCCCAGGCCAGUCACAUUCCCUCUUUGUGCCUCAGUUUCUUCAUCUAGGCAAUGGAAAUAACAAUUGUAACUACCACCUGGGGUUUACCCAAGUCCCUCACAACAUUCAUGGCACAUAUGUAAUUUUACAUUUUUUAAGUAGUCACGUUAAAAAACCAAAAAGGAACAGGUGAUACUAGCUUUAAUAAUACACUCUAAUCCAGGGGCACCUGGGUGGCUCAGCCGGUUAAGCGUCUGACUCCUGAUUUUGGCUCAGGAUAUAAUGUCACAAUCGUGGGGUGUAGCCCCAUGUCUGGGCUCAGGGCGGAGUCUGCUUGAGAAUCUCUCUCCCUCUCUGCCCCUUGCCCACUCAUUGUCUCUCUCUCUCUCUCUCUCUCUCUCUCUCUCUCUCUCUCAAAAUAAUAACCUUAAAACAAUAAUAUACUCUAAUUCAAUAUAUCCAUUCAUCAUGCAACGUGUAAUCAAUCUUAAAAUAUAACAUAUUUUACAUUCUGGUUUUCUUACUAAGUCUUUGCAGGGCGCACUGUGUUUGUUACAUUGUCAGCACACCUUGCUUCAAACUGGCCGGAUUUCAACUGCUCAACAGUCACGCAUGGCUAGUGGCUAUCCUGCUGGUCUGGCCAGCCUUUGGCUCUGAGAUCCAUGGGGCAGGGCCUUGCCUGGACUCCAGUCAGCAUGCACAGAGUCUGUUGUGCACCAGAUAUCUGCUCCACGUGGAAGAAGCAGAGGUCCCAUGCAGGAAACUUGGAGACUUGUUUCUGCCGGGCUGGGCCUCUAAGGCUCCCUCUCCAGUGAUCUGGCAGAAGUGGGGAGAUGCUCAGACUUGAGACCACUUCCAAAGCAGUUAUUCGAACGCCUGAGUUAGGAACCUUCCUUGAUGAGUUGCAUUUCCCACGAAAUCCUGGGAGACAGCCACCCUGAAGUCGCUCUCACCAGGUGGGCAGAAUAAUCACCCCAAGGAUGUCUACAUCCCAACCCCUGCAACCUGGGUGACAUGUGUUACCUCCCGUGGCGGAGGGACUUCCCAGAAGUGACGAAGUAAAGGGUUUUGAGAUGGGGAGUUUUCCUGGAGUAUCCAGAUGGGCUCAGUGUAAUCACAAGUGUGUUCACAAGUGAGGGAGGGAGGCAGGCGGGUCAGAGAAGUCUGGAGGUGGUAGAGGCAGAGGCCGGGGGGUGUGAGUACUGACUUUAAGGAUGGAGCCCAGGACGGUGGGCGGCCUCUGUAGCGGGAAAGGACAAGGAAACCGAUUCUCCCCAGAGCCUUCCAAAGGACCACUGCCCUCCUACACCUUGGUUUUAGUCCCGUGAGACCCAUUUCAGACUUCUGAUCUCCAAACUGUAAGAUAAUAAAUUUGUGUUGUUUGAAUCUA